GUGCUGACCAGAUCACCUUGUCCAGGUGCGGGUAGCGGUGCGACCUAGCUGUUACAAGGGGACAGCUUUUCAAGGGGACAGCUUUUCAGUGCCUUACCCCAGUGAUGGUCUGCGGUCUUGGUAGUAGGAGGCUGAGGUAAGGUGUUCUCAGUUGGCGCGGUCUGCGCGGCUCUUCUCCAGUGGCCUGUGGGGCAGUUACAGCACGUUCGGCCAUUUUGUUGAGGCCGCGUGGC